UUAAGCGACUAAGCGUACACGGUGGAUGCCCUGGCAGUCAGAGGCGAUGAAGGACGUGCUAAUCUGCGAUAAGCGUCGGUAAGGUGAUAUGAACCGUUAUAACCGGCGAUUUCCGAAUGGGGAAACCCAGUGUGAUUCGUCACACUAUCAUUAACUGAAUCCAUAGGUUAAUGAGGCGAACCGGGGGAACUGAAACAUCUAAGUACCCCGAGGAAAAGAAAUCAACCGAGAUUCCCCCAGUAGCGGCGAGCGAACGGGGAGCAGCCCAGAGCCUGAAUCAGUGUGUGUGUUAGUGGAAGCGUCUGGAAAGGCGUGCGAUACAGGGUGACAGCCCCGUACACAAAAAUGCACAUACUGUGAGCUCGAUGAGUAGGGCGGGACACGUGGUAUCCUGUCUGAAUAUGGGGGGACCAUCCUCCAAGGCUAAAUACUCCUGACUGACCGAUAGUGAACCAGUACCGUGAGGGAAAGGCGAAAAGAACCCCGGCGAGGGGAGUGAAAAAGAACCUGAAACCGUGUACGUACAAGCAGUGGGAGCACAGAGCAAUCUGUGUGACUGCGUACCUUUUGUAUAAUGGGUCAGCGACUUAUAUUCUGUAGCAAGGUUAACCGAAUAGGGGAGCCGAAGGGAAACCGAGUCUUAACUGGGCGUUAAGUUGCAGGGUAUAGACCCGAAACCCGGUGAUCUAGCCAUGGGCAGGUUGAAGGUUGGGUAACACUAACUGGAGGACCGAACCGACUAAUGUUGAAAAAUUAGCGGAUGACUUGUGGCUGGGGGUGAAAGGCCAAUCAAACCGGGAGAUAGCUGGUUCUCCCCGAAAGCUAUUUAGGUAGCGCCUCGUGAAUUCAUCUCCGGGGGUAGAGCACUGUUUCGGCAAGGGGGUCAUCCCGACUUACCAACCCGAUGCAAACUGCGAAUACCGGAGAAUGUUAUCACGGGAGACACACGGCGGGUGCUAACGUCCGUCGUGAAGAGGGAAACAACCCAGACCGCCAGCUAAGGUCCCAAAGUCAUGGUUAAGUGGGAAACGAUGUGGGAAGGCCCAGACAGCCAGGAUGUUGGCUUAGAAGCAGCCAUCAUUUAAAGAAAGCGUAAUAGCUCACUGGUCGAGUCGGCCUGCGCGGAAGAUGUAACGGGGCUAAACCAUGCACCGAAGCUGCGGCAGCGACGCUUAUGCGUUGUUGGGUAGGGGAGCGUUCUGUAAGCCUGUGAAGGUGUACUGUGAGGUAUGCUGGAGGUAUCAGAAGUGCGAAUGCUGACAUAAGUAACGAUAAAGCGGGUGAAAAGCCCGCUCGCCGGAAGACCAAGGGUUCCUGUCCAACGUUAAUCGGGGCAGGGUGAGUCGACCCCUAAGGCGAGGCCGAAAGGCGUAGUCGAUGGGAAACAGGUUAAUAUUCCUGUACUUGGUGUUACUGCGAAGGGGGGACGGAGAAGGCUAUGUUGGCCGGGCGACGGUUGUCCCGGUUUAAGCGUGUAGGCUGGUUUUCCAGGCAAAUCCGGAAAAUCAAGGCUGAGGCGUGAUGACGAGGCACUACGGUGCUGAAGCAACAAAUGCCCUGCUUCCAGGAAAAGCCUCUAAGCAUCAGGUAACAUCAAAUCGUACCCCAAACCGACACAGGUGGUCAGGUAGAGAAUACCAAGGCGCUUGAGAGAACUCGGGUGAAGGAACUAGGCAAAAUGGUGCCGUAACUUCGGGAGAAGGCACGCUGAUAUGUAGGUGAAGUCCCUCGCGGAUGGAGCUGAAAUCAGUCGAAGAUACCAGCUGGCUGCAACUGUUUAUUAAAAACACAGCACUGUGCAAACACGAAAGUGGACGUAUACGGUGUGACGCCUGCCCGGUGCCGGAAGGUUAAUUGAUGGGGUUAGCGCAAGCGAAGCUCUUGAUCGAAGCCCCGGUAAACGGCGGCCGUAACUAUAACGGUCCUAAGGUAGCGAAAUUCCUUGUCGGGUAAGUUCCGACCUGCACGAAUGGCGUAAUGAUGGCCAGGCUGUCUCCACCCGAGACUCAGUGAAAUUGAACUCGCUGUGAAGAUGCAGUGUACCCGCGGCAAGACGGAAAGACCCCGUGAACCUUUACUAUAGCUUGACACUGAACAUUGAGCCUUGAUGUGUAGGAUAGGUGGGAGGCUUUGAAGUGUGGACGCCAGUCUGCAUGGAGCCGACCUUGAAAUACCACCCUUUAAUGUUUGAUGUUCUAACGUUGACCCGUGAUCCGGGUUGCGGACAGUGUCUGGUGGGUAGUUUGACUGGGGCGGUCUCCUCCUAAAGAGUAACGGAGGAGCACGAAGGUUGGCUAAUCCUGGUCGGACAUCAGGAGGUUAGUGCAAUGGCAUAAGCCAGCUUGACUGCGAGCGUGACGGCGCGAGCAGGUGCGAAAGCAGGUCAUAGUGAUCCGGUGGUUCUGAAUGGAAGGGCCAUCGCUCAACGGAUAAAAGGUACUCCGGGGAUAACAGGCUGAUACCGCCCAAGAGUUCAUAUCGACGGCGGUGUUUGGCACCUCGAUGUCGGCUCAUCACAUCCUGGGGCUGAAGUAGGUCCCAAGGGUAUGGCUGUUCGCCAUUUAAAGUGGUACGCGAGCUGGGUUUAGAACGUCGUGAGACAGUUCGGUCCCUAUCUGCCGUGGGCGCUGGAGAACUGAGGGGGGCUGCUCCUAGUACGAGAGGACCGGAGUGGACGCAUCACUGGUGUUCGGGUUGUCAUGCCAAUGGCACUGCCCGGUAGCUAAAUGCGGAAGAGAUAAGUGCUGAAAGCAUCUAAGCACGAAACUUGCCCCGAGAUGAGUUCUCCCUGACUCCUUGAGAGUCCUGAAGGAACGUUGAAGACGACGACGUUGAUAGGCCGGGUGUGUAAGCGCAGCGAUGCGUUGAGCUAACCGGUACUAAUGAACCGUGAGGCUUAACCUU
rnacentral:rRNA from 1 species